rnacentral:lncRNA from 1 species
CUUAGGGGAAGGUUGAUUUAAUCUGAAAGCGCAAACACUUCCAACUGGAUAUGCUUACGUCCCAGCUCACACAAGCACACUCUUUAUUCCCUGGCAGUGAAGAAUACGCGAUGAAACAAAGAUUUCUCUGACGUCGGCAUUGUAGAGCCCCCUUUCUUCCUUCUCUCCUUCUCUCCCCUACCCUUCAGUUUUGGAUUCAGGGAUCAGAGAGGUUCAGUUUGGGGAUUGAAUUACAAUGUUGUCACUAUUUUGGAAAGGAAAAUGCUGGCUGAGAAUGUGAAACCCUUUUUUCUCCCAUUUUGCGUGGGCAGAAGCCAGAGCAGAAAAUCCUAAGAUGCAAAAUGAACAUACCAAAAUCAACCUCAAGAGAGGUCUGCAGAACAUCCAAGAGCAGAGUCAACUCCCAGAUCUACCUGCUUCCUGUGCAUGCGGACUCCUGCAUACAAAGUCUCACACGUGCUGUUCCAGAUCACGUUUAUAGCAAGCAGGACCUCAGACCGAAGGAAAUAAAGCGUCAAGUUUGAGCUCUGAUGUUUCAUUGAUUUAGCCCAGUUCACAGAAGCCCAAUAAGUCUGAGUUUGUUCACACAGCUGGUAAGCUAUAAACUCUUUCUCCUGUAGCAAACUUCUCUCCUCCUUCCCAAGAGCUGGGAGAGGGGACUCGGGGUGUGCUGGUGUUGGGGAGGGAGAA